rnacentral:rRNA from 1 species
AGAGUUUGAUCCUGGCUCAGAUUGAACGCUGGCGGCAUGCCAUACACAUGCAAAGUCGACGGGCAGCACGGGAGCAACCCUGGUGGCGAGUGGCGGACGGGUGAGUAAUACUCGGAAACGUGUCCUGUAGUGGGGGAUAGCCCGGCGAAAGCCGGAUUAAUACCGCUUACGACCUAAGGGGAAAGCGGGGGAUCUUCGGACCUCGCGCUAUAGGGGCGGCCGAUGGCAGAUUAGCUUAGUUGGUGGGGUAAAGGCCUACCAAGGCGACGAUCUGUAGCUGGUCUGAGAGGACGACCAGCCACACUGGGACUGAGACACGGCCCAGACUCCUACGGGAGGCAGCAGUGGGGAAUUUUGGACAAUGGGGGCAACCCUGAUCCAGCAAUGCCGCGUGUGUGAAGAAAGGCCUUCGGGUUGUAAAGCACUUUUGUCCGGAAAGAAAAACCGCUGCCCUAAUAUGGUGGCGGGAUGACGGUACCGGAAGAAUAAGCACCGGCUAACUACGUGCCAGCAGCCGCGGUAAUACGUAGGGUGCGAGCGUUAAUCGGAAUUACUGGGCGUAAAGCGUGCGCAGGCGGUCUGUUAAGACCGAUGUGAAAUCCCCGGGCUUAACCUGGGAACUGCAUUGGUGACUGGCAGGCUUUGAGUGUGGCAGAAGGGGGGUAGAAUUCCACGUGUAGCAGUGAAAAUGCGUAGAGAUGUGGAGGAAUACCGAUGGCGAAAGGGCAAGCCCCCUGGGCCAACACUGACGCUUAUGCACGAAAAGCGUGGGGAAGCAAACGGAUUAGAUACCCCCGUAGUCC